GACUUGACUUGACAUCCACACUCUCCUUUGUCUUACAGCAUUACCUGAUUCAACUAACAAUGGAGAUCAGGUCCAUUGUCUUCUUCACCGCAAUACUGGCCUCAAUUAAUAGUAUUAGCUGCCAGAUCCGACUGGAUCAGUCUCCUGCUGAGGUAAAAAGACCAGGAGAGAAGGUCAAGAUCUCAUGUAAAAUAAGCGGCUAUUCAAUGACGAGCUAUAACAUACACUGGAUACGCCAGAAACCAGGAGAGGCUUUGGAGUGGGUCGGAAGAAUGAGCACUGGAAAUAAUGCUGGUACUUUUGCAGAGUCUCUGAAGGGCCAGUUCACCCUGACUGAAGACGUCCCCACCCAGCAUGCAGUACUUAGAGGCCAAGAGUCUGAAAGCAGAGGACACUGCUGUUUACUACUGUGCACGACAGGCACAGUGACUGAAGCUGGUGAAGCAGCUGCACAAAAAACCACAGACUCAAGAUUAGAAGGAUUAAAAUAGGGAAACCGGGGCUCAGUACUUUAAUGGUUUUCUUUGGAUAACAUAAAAAGGAUAACUCUAGAGUAGCCAAGCAAUUGGAACGCUACCUGUUAUGACUAAGCAUGUUUUUGUUUGUCAGUUUGAUUUU